UGCAUCUGGACUUGGUUCAAGUGGCACCAGCCAAACACCUGCCUUACUGACCUCUCCCCUGGAGGAGCAGGAGCAGCGCUCGAGGCCACCCUGGGAGGGCUGAGAGGCAGGCUCUGGACUGGGGACACAGGGAUAGCUGAGCCCCAGCUGGGGGUGGAAGCUGAGCCAGGGACAGUCACGGAGGAACAAGAUCAAGAUGCGCUUUAAAGAUGCGCUUUAACUGAGAAGCCCCCAAGGCAGAGGCUGAGAAUCGGAAGACAUUUCAGCAGACAUCUACAAAUCUGAAGGACAAAACAUGGUUCAAGCAUCUGGGCACAGGCGUCCUACCAAACUACAGAAUGUGAGAACAGAAGGUCUGACCGUGGACUUGAGAGCUGACAUUAGGAAUGUCACCACCAUCCCGCUCUCCAAGGACUCCUCAUCAUCAACAGACUCCUCAUCUUCAAUGGGCAGAGUGGAAACUGCAACUUGUGCCAUGAUCCUUGCACAAGAAAAGUAGUAAGAAAUACUACCCAAUUACAGAAUGUUAGAACAGAAGGUCUCACCAUGGACUCAAGAGCUGAUAUGAGCAAUGUCACCACCAUCCUGCUCUCUGCGGACUCACCUUCAACAGACUCAUCUUCAACGGACUCCUCAUCUUCCAUGGACUCCUCAUCUUCAACGGGCAGGGUGGAAACUGCAGCUUGUGCCAUGAUCCCUGUGCAAGAAAAGUAGUAAGAAAUUGAAUGGUAGAAAUCCAGUAUCCUAAACUCACAUCCAGAGCUGUGAGAGUUUUUCACCGGCUGGCACAUUGUUUUUUUGCAUCAGAGAAAAAAACAAAACUUGGUAACUUGGUAUUCGAUUUGCCCAAAACUCUCAUCAGAUAGAGAAUUCAUCCGCUAACUUUCUAUCUAGUAGUAUUUCCAUGAAGUUAGAUGAAUAUCACUCCCAAAAUAAAUCCACGUGGCAACCAGAA